AUAAACGCUGGCGGCGUGCAUGAGACAUGCAAGUCGAACGCAGGAUCGGGCUUGCUCGAUCCUUAGUGGCGGACGGCUGAGUAACGCGUAGGUGACCUACCCCGAAGUGGGGAAUAACUGCCCGAAAGGGUGGCUAAUACCGCAUGUGGUCGCACGUUCAUUCGUGCGAGUAAAGCCGCAAGGCGCUUCGGGAGGGGCCUGCGUCCGAUUAGCUCGUUGGUGGGGUAAUGGCUUACCAAGGCGACGAUCGGUAGGUGGUCUGAGAGGACGAUCACCCAGACUGGGACUGAGACACGGCCCAGACUCCUACGGGAGGCAGCAGUCGGGAAUUUUGCUCAAUGGGGGAAACCCUGAAGCAGCAACGCCGCGUGAGGGAUGAAGGCCUUCGGGUUGUAAACCUCUUUUGUCAGGGACGAUGAUGACGGUACCUGGCGAAUAAGCCACGGCUAACUACGUG
rnacentral:rRNA from 1 species